rnacentral:tRNA from 1 species
GCCCAAAUAGCUCAGUCGGUAGAGCAGAGGACUGAAAAUCCUCGUGUCGGUGGUUCGAUUCCGCCUCUGGGCACCA